rnacentral:rRNA from 1 species
UACGUAGGGUGCAAGCGUUGUCCGGAAUUAUUGGGCGUAAAGAGCUCGUAGGCGGUUUGUUGCGUCGGCUGUGAAAUCCCCGAGGCUCAACCUCGGGUCUGCAGUCGAUACGAGCAAACUAGAGUGUUGCAGGGGGAGACUGGAAUUCCUGGUGUAGCGGUGAAAUGCGCAGAUAUCAGGAGGAACACCGGUGGCGAAGGCGGGUCUCUGGGCAACAACUGACGCUGGAGGAGCGAAAAGCGUGGGGAGCGAACAGG